GAAGGAUUAAUUGCAGCUUCAAGAACACAGAGUUGCUUUAGCUCUGAUGGUGUCUAGUUCAUUUUCUCCUGCACUGGGAGGAACAAGAAGAAAAAAAGGCUGCAACCGCAGCAGCAAGAGAGAUUUAGGGAAAACUUGGCCUUGACAGUGACUGGGUAGGAGAGAACAGCCCUCGGACACUCAUGGCAUGGGCCAAUUGUUUAGAUCAGGGAGAUUUUCAUUCUGGACCCUUAAAAGGUGGAUUUUUACAAAACCACUCAUUCCGUCUGGUGGGUCAGGUGUGGGGCGAGUGUGAGAAACGUACAUAAUGAGCUCAUCUUGAGGUGCUAUGGGGAGCAGCGGCUAACCUGAGCUAAAGAGGGUUUGGUCAUUUCCAAAGGGCUGCUGGAGAUAGCACUGUGGCUGCAUGAAGGAAUGGAAAGGGCUCUCCCUGCUUUAACUAGCUUCAGAUUUAUCUGUUUUAAAUCUUGGCUCUCCAUGUUACUGCUAAAAACAGUUUGAAGACCCCUCUAAUCGAGUUGGUCCCUAGAGCCAGACAGGGGAUCAGCUUUAAUAUUUUGCAGAAGCCCUAGGAAGGGGCAAACCUCCCAGAAGACAGCUCUGGCUCCAAAGAUGGACGAAAUGAGGCAUCCAGAACCAGACUUGAGGAUCCAACCCCAAAUCCUCCCCUUGCACAGAGCCCGAUGCGACCCAUGAACUGCGAGAUCUUGAUCUGAGCCGAAGUCAGACGCUUAACUUACUGAGCUACCCAGGCACCCUGAGAACCUUCCUUCUUCUGGGGCUCCUCUUAGCUCCAGCCUUGGUUCCCUCCCAUACAGACGGAUGGUAAAAGGCUCAUUCAAUGGUAAAAGGCUCUUAGGAAUGACUGUGGGCUCUCUGUCCCCAAGGGCCAUAAAAAUAAGGUGACCAGAAGCACAGAUGAGCUGCCCUGCUCCAGACCCUUCCCCUCUAGGGCAGAUAACUUAGCCUGAGCUGCCCCGUCAUUUGGAGCCCAGAAUUUGGCCUGUGACUUCAGAACGCAGCCCCGAUUUCUGAGCACAGAACACUUCAUAAUAAACAGCAGGGAAAGUGAAGCCGAGAUGAGCCUACAUCUCAGAAUUGUUUCCAAAUAAAGUGUUAUUUUUUUCCUC